AGCCGGGGUGGUAGCGGUACCUUGUACCUACAAUCCGCUAUAGUAGGGGUGAUACUGUGCGGAGGGCAGUUUUUGUCAAAGCCGCCCUUGUCCAGCGGCGUUGAUAUUCGGGUCUUACGCGGCAGAAAUCUGUGAACCGUGUCAGGUCGGGAACGAAGCAGCACUAAGCAGAAUCUUCUGGGUGCCGUAAGGCAGCCUGAGUUGAGCUUGCUGGCAAGGUAACGUUUGGGAGGGAUUUGUUCGAAGCACAGUGCA
rnacentral:SRP_RNA from 1 species